GAAAUGGGUUCUUUUGCUUUUUUUUAAAUAAAGUUUAUUGAUAUGAUUUUGGUUUUUUUUUGUUUUUGUUUUUGUUUUUGCAGAAAGUUUGGUUGGAUUAAGGUACAGGAAAAGCUUGUGUUUUGAUAUCUUCCAACGGAUUAGCGAUAACUGGGAUUGACGAUCGUAGAUACUGGAGUUGGAUUUCUACAGAGGAAUCCAGAUUCCGUUCAGUUGCUUAUCUCCAACAAAUUUGGUGGUUUGAAGUCGAUGGUGAGGUCGAGUUUCCUUUUCCUUGUGGGACCUACACCCUCUACUUCCGCCUACAACUUGGGCGGUCAGGCAGGCGGUUUGGGCGGCGUGUCUGCAACUCCAACCAUGUUCAUGGUUGGGAUAUAAAACCUGUGAAAUUUCAGCUUUCAACUUCAGAUGGGUAAUCAUUCUUCGGUUUCGAAAUCGACAUGGACAUCCAAUAUUAGCUCCGAAGAUAUGCUGACCGAAGUUCUGUCGUAUUUCACGCAACUAUCAAUACCGGAGAAGACGGAGCGUAUCUGGAAUUUUAUAUCAGACAUAUAGAUGGAAGCCCGAUUAGUUCAGAAGCCGAAAAGCAACGAGUGAUCAUGUGUUUAAAAGCCGCGGUUGAAAGAAGGGCACCCGAGGGUGUGCGUCUCGAGCUAUUCAAACCCGACAAACCCGGGCUGUUGGCCCAAGUGACACGAACGCUUAGAGAAAACGCGAUGAACGUAACACAGGCCGGAUAUCUACAAUAAUGGAUUGUUGCAUUGCUACUUGAUAAUGGAGCUGAUGUUAAUUCUAGGAAUUAUUGUGGUCAGGUAAUCAUUCUUCGGUUUCAAAAUCGACAUGGACAUCCAAUAUUAGCUCCGAAGAUAUGCUUACCGAAGUUCUGUCGUAUUUCGCGCAACCAUCAAUACCAGAGAAGACGGGGAGUAUCUGGUCAUCCCAAGAGCCUACUUAUCGUGUCUCUAUAAAUACACAGCCACAUUCAAGCAUCCUCCCUUUCAUUAUGCAACCUGUGACUGAAUAUCGGAAGACACCUGCCAACAUGAAGAAAACCACUGCUGUUGCUAACUGUUCAGAAAGUUUGGCGACUCUUGAAGAAAUAUUACACCAUGGUCGAGAAAAUAAGAAACACACGAAUGCUGAGUUCAAUUGUCGUGUGGUGAUUAAAGGCAUACGUAAUAGCGAAGAGUGGUUCAGACUUAUGUGUGGAGGAGGAAAAUGCAUGAAAGGUGUAUCGCGUGAUCACGGGGAGCUGUGGUGUGUUGGCUGUGAAACCCAGUUAUGUUUCCCCGAGCAAGGUUCCAUCUUGAACUUGAUGUGCUCGAUUCCACAGCAAAUGCGGUCAUCGUGUGCUUCGAUGACACUGCACAGAUUCUAACAAGCACCACUGCUCAGUCUAUACUCAAUGUGGAAUCGGGUCUCUCGCAUAUCUACACCAUUUAUUCCGAAAGCAUCCAGGAUAGCUUCACUCCAGUCAUGAUACAGAACUCUAACGGUAGCAUCUCAGAGCUCCCAAACUGCUUACACUCACUUGUGGGCACCACCCGAACCAUCCAAGUUGACACAUCCACAUACUACCAUCAUGGGGCCUUUGAGAGCUACAACUGCAAGCGUGUGCUCCCAGACGAAACCAAUUGUCAAUCCGUUGGAUCUACGACUGUAACACCCCGAAAACGAGUUUGGUAAUCAAACUCCGUUAAUACUAAAAGACGGGUAAAGUAUCGUUAGUAGCUAAAAUAACUAGGUAAAUAUUUGGAUUUAAAUAAGAAAUCCUAAUAUUAAAUACAAGUGAAUCAAAGUUUUAAAGGAUUGAAUUUAAAA